CUUCGCCGAAGAGAUGAGCUAAUCGGACGUCAAUUUCGGAUCGUCUUUCGUCACGCCGAACACGCGAAAGAUUAAAUUCUGUUUUCGGACCGCCUGAGGAAGACCGCCGCCGGGUUCGGGCUUCGACAGGUUAAACUCAAACAGGCCGGAUACACACGUAGACGCUCCCAUGGAGCUGUCACGGGACGCGGGUUCGAUUCCCGCCGCCUCCAUCC
rnacentral:tmRNA from 1 species